rnacentral:rRNA from 1 species
AUUGAACGCUGGCGGCAGGCUUAACACAUGCAAGUCGAGCGAGCGGCGGACGGGUGAGCAAUGUCUGGGCAACUGCCUGAUGGAGGGGGAUAACUACUGGAAACGGUAGCUAAUACCGCACACCAUCAGAUGUGCCCUGGUGGGAUUAGCUAGUAGGUGGGGUAAUGGCUCACCAAGGCGACGAUCCCUAGCUGGUCUGAGAGGAUGACCAGCCACACUGGAACUGAGACACGGUCCAGACUCCUACGGGAGGCAGCAGUGGGGAAUAUUGCACAAUGGGCGAAAGCCUGAUGCAGCCAUGCCGCGUGUGUGAAGAAGGUCUUCGGGUUGUAAAGCACUUUCAGCGGGGAGGCGUUACCCACAGAAGAAGCACCGGCUAACUCCGUGCCAGCAGCCGCGGUAAUAC